AACGACUCUCGGCAACGGAUAUCUUGGCUCUCGCAUCGAUGAAGAACGCAGCAAAAUGCGAUACUUGGUGUGAAUUGCAGAAUCCCGUGAAUCAUCGAGUUUUUGAACGCAAGUUGCGCCCGAAGCCUUUCGGYCGAGGGCACGUCUGCCUGGGUGUCACGC
rnacentral:rRNA from 1 species